rnacentral:rRNA from 1 species
GGGAACAUACCCUUUUCUACGGAAUAGCUCUGGGAAACUGGAAUUAAUACCGUAUACGCCCUACGGGGGAAAGAUUUAUCGGGGAAGGAUUGGCCCGCGUUGGAUUAGCUAGUUGGUGGGGUAAAGGCCUACCAAGGCGACGAUCCAUAGCUGGUCUGAGAGGAUGAUCAACCACAUUGGGACUGAGACACGGCCCAAACUCCUACGGGAGGCAGCAGUGGGGAAUAUUGGACAAUGGGCGCAAGCCUGAUCCAGCCAUGCCGCGUGAGUGAUGAAGGCCUUAGGGUUGUAAAGCUCUUUCACCGAUGAAGAUAAUGACGGUAGUCGGAGAAGAAGCCCCGGCUAACUUCGUGCCAGCAGCCGCGGUAAUACGAAGGGGGCUAGCGUUGUUCGGAAUUACUGGGCGUAAAGCGCACGUAGGCGGAUAUUUAAGUCAGGGGUGAAAUCCCAGAGCUCAACUCUGGAACUGCCUUUGAUACUGGGUAUCUUGAGUAUGGAAGAGGUAAGUGGAAUUGCGAGU